GACGAACGCUGGCGGCGUGCUUAACACAUGCAAGUCGAACGGAAAGGCCCCUUUGGGGGUACUCGAGUGGCGAACGGGUGAGUAACACGUGAGUAACCUGACCUUGACUUUGGGAUAACUUCAGGAAACUGGGGCUAAUACCGGAUAGGAAUCAUUGAUGCAUGGUGGGGGUUGGAAAGCUUCGGCGGUUUUGGCUGGACUCGCGGCUUAUCUGCUUGUUGGUGGGGUGGUGGCUUACCAAGGCUUUGACGGGAAGCCGGCCUGUGAGGGCGACCGGCCACAUUGGGACUGAGAUACGGCCCAGACUCCUACGGGAGGCAGCAGUGGGGAAUAUUGCACAAUGGGCGGAAGCCUGAUGCAGCAACGCCGCGUGCGGGAUGACGGCCUUCUGGUUGUAAACCGCUUUCAGCAGGAGCGAAGCUUGUGGUGACGGUACCUGCAGAAGAAGCACCGGCUAACUACGUG
rnacentral:rRNA from 1 species